rnacentral:rRNA from 1 species
GAUGAACGCUGGCGGCGUGCCUAACACAUGCAAGUCGAACGGAAAGGCCCGGCUUUUGUGGGUUUCUCGAGUGGCGAACGGGUGAGUAACACGUGAGUAUCCUGCCCCUGUCUUUGUGGUAACUUCAGGAAACUGGGGCUAAUACCGGAUAUGAUCUCCUGCUGCAUGGGGUUGAAUGGAAAGAUUCGGCGGUUGGGUAUGGACUCGCAGCUUAUCCGCUUGUUUGUGUGGUAGGUGAUUACCAAGGCUUUGACGGGUAGCCGGCCUGAGAGAGUUAACGGCCACCUUAGGACUGAGAUACGGAGCAGAAUCGUACGGGAGGCAGUAGUGGAGAACAUUGCACAAUGGGCGGACGUCUGAUGCAGAGGCGCCGCGUGCGGAAUGACGGCUUUCGGGUUGUGAACAGAUUUCGACUGUGCCGAAGCGUGAGUGACGGUAACGAGUAAAGAAGCAACGGCUAACUACGUG